CCUACGGGGGGCUGCAGCUAAGAAUAUUCCGCAAUGGACGAAAGUCUGACGGAGCGACGCCGCGUGGAUGACGAAGGCCGUGAGGUUGUAAAAUCCUUUUGUCGGGGAAGAAUAAGCAUGGGAGGGAAUGCCCGUGCGAUGACAUGAACCGGCGAAUAAGCCCCGGCUAACUACGUGCCAGCAGCCGCGGUAACACGUAGGGGGCGAGCGUUGUUCGGAAUUACUGGGCGUAAAGGGCAUGUAGGCGGUUUGGUAAGCCUGACGUGAAAGGCUAU
rnacentral:rRNA from 1 species